rnacentral:tRNA from 1 species
GCACUGGUGGUUCAAUGGUAGAAUACUCGCCUGCCACGCGGGUGAUCCGGGUUCGAUUCCCGGCCAGUGCA